UACCAGCACCCCGAGUGGUCGGGACGAUUAUUGGGCCUAAAGCAUCCGUAGCCGGUUUUACAAGUCCUCCGUUAAAUCCAGCUGCUUAACAGAUGGGCUGCGGAGGAUACUAUAAGACUAGGAGGCAGGAGAGGCAAGCGGUACUCAGUGGGUAGGGGUAAAAUCCGUUGAUCCAUUGAAGACCACCAGUGGCGAAGGCGGCUUGCCAGAAUGCGCUCGACGGUGAGGGAUGAAAGCUGGGGAGCAACCGGG
rnacentral:rRNA from 1 species